GUUACAGGAGAAGUUUAAACUACAGUCACCCGUCAAACAACUGAAUUAAGGUGUGUUCAGCAGUUUGAAGGUACCUCCACAAGCUGCAUGUUUAUGUGCUGAGACUGUGACGACCUGCUCUUCUGCACCAAGAGUGUAGGACAUUGGGGAAGAGAAUAUAAUAGAGGUUGGAACAGCAUUCGUCUGAAAGAAAGAUCAUGUGAUGAGUUAUUCCCAAAAAGGGUUUGUGUGCAACAGAGAAGAGUGAGAAAGGUGUUUUUAACUUUAUAGCUUCUGAAGCUCUGUGUGCUCUGAUUGAAGCUUAACUUUUCAUUAUAAUUUUUGAUGGAAGAUUUGACAAAUAAAAAUUCUAUCAUGUUCAGUCACUUGCAGGACUAUGCUCUGUACUGAGUGACCAAGUUAUUUCAUUAUUACAUGUACACAUCUCCUGAAGUCUGGCUUUUACAUCUGUGUGCUUUUAGUAUUAAUUUAUAUUUCAGUAAAACUGAUGAGCAGUCCUGAUUCCGUAAAUGUAAUUGGAUUAGUUGCUAUACAGUGUUACAGAACUGCAUUUUGCAAAAUACAGAAUGACCUAAGUCAAACUUUCUGUGCAUGAGAAUGGCCCUUUAUGCUUGACUACCUACUUGAAAUUCUGUCACAUUGUUUAUGCAAUUAAAUAUUCCUUCAAAUUUCAUAUAUUAAAAAAUGUAUUGGUACUGCUAGUGGGUACCUGGCAGGCAACUAGUUUUGCCCUCCUGUAAGUGACUAAGACUAUACUUGUGGCUGUACAUAAAUUGAUAACAAACAUAAUAUGACAUAUUGACCAUAUGUAUGUUCCACGUAUAUAUACAAAUGACGAUGUUUAUGACUAUUUGUAUAACUUGCAAAAUUGUACUUAGUUUUCACAAGAUGGAAGACUGGAAUAGGCUUGAUUGAUUUUUAAUUUCUCCAACUAUUCCAAGAGGUGAUUAAAACAAGUUAAAAACUGAAAAAUGAACAACCCCUAUUUUUCUAAAUGAAGUGACCACCUGGCAUUUAAAAAUUAUUCCACCAUUUUGAUGGUAGUUUCAAUAAAAUUCUUUGAUUCUCACAAAUUUUCUGAUUAAAACUUAGCAUGUUUGAAAAUUACAAGUGAACUAAAGUGACCUUUUAUAAUGUAAUCUUGGUGAUACAUUUCCCUACCCAGGCCUCAUGGCUUCAUAAAAUCCUUUUUACUUAUUGUUUAAUACUUCUGGCUCAAGACAGGAUGUAUCUGCUGAUUCAUUGAGCACCCAGUGUUUAUGUAAUCUACCAUUCUGUCAGUGUUGCAUCUCAUCUCUCUCAAUCUGGGAACUAAUGCUGGCCACAAAGUUUUCCAACCCUGGUGGAACUGGCUUAAUGUAUUAGCAAAGGAGCUGCCUAAGCAGGAAAGAAUUCUCUGUCUUGUAGAGAACAAGGGAAGGAGGGAAGAAAAGCAAUAAAAGGAUUUAAAAUAGCAAAACUUUUGAACAGAAUUCAUAUGAGGAUAAACAUUAUAGAAAUUACAGGGAUGGGCAGUAAGUACAGAAGCUUGAAAAGAAGCUGUGUCAGCUGCAGGUAACAGACAUGCAUCUCUCCCAGAAGAUUUUGUCUUGAAGUGAAAGACGAACUGGUAUGUUAGCUGAUGGAGAGAAUGAAGCAGGGAAGUAUUUAUGGUUUUAUUUUUAAUAGAUCUGUGUACUUCCUUUAGUGUUGAUUAAAAUCAAUAAUAAUCUGGAAUUCA